AUGAUAAGUACACCCUCACCUCACCUACCUUGUUCAGAACCAGAGCGUGAGAUUUCAAGUAUGUUGCCAGCCAUUGAGGAGCCCCUUGUUGGGGGCAGCAGCAGCACCGAGGAGAGCUUGGUGGUGACCGAGGUUAAGAAGCAGCUGUACCUCGCCGGGCCCCUCAUCGCCGGAUGCCUGCUGCAGAACGUCGUGCAGAUGAUAUCGGUCAUGUUUGUCGGCCAUCUCGGCGAGCUCGCUCUCUCGAGUGCCUCCAUCGCCACCUCCUUUGCCGGUGUUACCGGCUUCAGCUUGUUGUCUGGCAUGGCGAGCAGCUUGGACACACUGUGUGGGCAAGCCUUUGGAGCAAAACGGUACCAUCUGCUCGGCAUCUACAAGCAGAGGGCCAUCCUUGUGCUCACUCUGGUGAGCGUUGUGGUUGCGGUGCUCUGGGCGUACACCGGGCAGAUCCUCCUGCUCUUCGGCCAGGACCCGGAUAUUGCCAUGGGGGCAGGGAGCUACAUCCGGUGGAUGAUUCCAGCUCUGUUCGCUUACGGACUGCUGCAGUGCCACGUCCGGUUCCUCCAGACACAGAACAUCGUCCUUCCGGUGAUGGCGAGCGCAGGCGUCACGGCACUAAGCCACGUGCUUGUGUGCUGGUUGCUGGUUUACAGGCUUGGACUGGGCAACAAGGGUGCUGCCCUGGCCAAUGGCAUCUCCUACCUGGCCAAUGUCUCUAUCUUGGCUCUCUACAUCAGGGUCUCUCCAUCCUGCAGGAGCACCUGGACAGGCCUCUCAAAGGAGGCAUUUCGCGACAUCCUUAGCUUCAUGAAGCUUGCCGUGCCAUCUGCGCUCAUGGUUUGCCUAGAGUGGUGGUCGUUUGAGCUGCUGGUACUUCUCUCUGGACUUCUCCAUAAUCCUAAGCUCGAAGCAUCGGUGUUGUCCAUUUGCCUAAAUACAAGUUCAUUGGCAUUCAUGAUCUCCUUGGGGCUUGGGGCAGCCAUAAGCACCCGUGUUUCAAACGAGCUUGGUGCUGGGCGACCUGAAGCUGCCCGCUUGGCUACUCGUGUGAUCAUGGUUCUGGGUCUCACGGCGGGUCUAUCAUUAGGACUUAUUAUGAUUUCGGUACGCAAUUUAUGGGGGUAUGCAUACAGCAACGAGAAGGAAGUGGUGGAAUACAUUGCAAGAAUGAUGCCGCUUCUUUCCGUGUCAAUCAUCUUCGACAAUCUGCAAUGUGUCCUUUCAGGUAUUGUUAGGGGCUGUGGCUUGCAAAAGGUUGGUGCUUGUGUCAAUCUCAGCGCAUAUUACCUUGUCGGCAUUCCAGCGGCGCUAUGCUUUGCCUUUGUCUACCAUCUUGGCGGAAUGGGGCUGUGGUUCGGAAUAAUCUGUGGGAUAGUGGUACAGAUGCUGCUGCUGCUGGGCAUCACCAUGCGCACCAACUGGGAUAAAGAGGCUCUCAAGGCAAAGGGCAGAGUUUUCAGUUCGUCCCGGCCUCUAGACAUGACGACAUGA
rnacentral:rRNA from 1 species